UCGUCGUCGAUUAUCCCUUUGCUUACAACAUUAUCCUCGGCCACACAGCCCUAAAUGCUUUUCAAGCUGUCACAUCCACUUUCCAUCUUGCCGUCAAAUUCCCCACCGACCUUGGGGUCGGUAUGGUAAGGGAAGAGCAGACCGUGGCCAGAGAAUGUUACGCCACUUCACUUAAAGAGGUUAAGCUAAAGAAGGCUAUGAUCAUUGAAGGACUCGACGUCAGAGACGAAGACGAGCUGGUCAGAGGGGAACCAGUGGAAGAGCUUAUCGAGGUCCUCAUCGAUCCCACCAACCCGACAAAAACAGCCAAGAUCAGCAGCCAACUAUCCCCUCAAGCCAAGGCCGAUCUUACAACCCUCCUGACUGAACACAAUGAUGUGUUUGCCUAGACCCAUUCCGA
rnacentral:misc_RNA from 1 species